CUUGCAGCCUGUGAGCACUGCUGUGCCAUUAGCUAGAUUUGGGAUGCUCACAGAUGAGGUAUGGCCAGCAAUUUGAGAAGAGCAGCCCCAUGAAUAAAGCUCCCUACCUAGGCCUCUGCUGGCCCUACUUGCUUCCCUCUGAGAGGAGCUUUGGAAAAAGACCCUGUCCUACAUGAAUGGAGUCUGCAAGCCAACUCAUCAGCCUCUCUUUCUGAUUAAGCAGGUGGAUGCUGUGCAUGGAAUGCCUGAAUCCCAGACAGCCUCUGUGUGUGUGUUGCAGUGCAGAUCUUGGAAGAUGUGCUCCCCUCCUGCAAACCCAGGGCAGUGACCCCCAUCCUCUCACAUCCUCGG